AUGAACGCUAGCUACAGGCUUAACACAUGCAAGUCGAGGGGCAGCAUUUCAGUUUGCUUGCAAACUGGAGAUGGCGACCGGCGCACGGGUGAGUAACACGUAUCCAACCUGCCGAUAACUCGGGGAUAGCCUUUCGAAAGAAAGAUUAAUACCCGAUGGUAUAAUCAGACCGCAUGGUCUUGUUAUUAAAGAAUUUCGGUUAUCGAUGGGGAUGCGUUCCAUUAGGCAGUUGGUGAGGUAACGGCUCACCAAACCUUCGAUGGAUAGGGGUUCUGAGAGGAAGGUCCCCCACAUUGGAACUGAGACACGGUCCAAACUCCUACGGGAGGCAGCAGUGAGGAAUAUUGGUCAAUGGGCGCAGGCCUGAACCAGCCAAGUAGCGUGAAGGAUGACUGCCCUAUGGGUUGUAAACUUCUUUUAUAUGGGAAUAAAGUUUUCCACGUGUGGAAUUUUGUAUGUACCAUAUGAAUAAGGAUCGGCUAACUCCGUGCCAGCAGCCGCGGUAAUACGGAGGAUCCGAGCGUUAUCCGGAUUUAUUGGGUUUAAAGGGAGUGUAGGUGGACAGUUAAGUCAGUUGUGAAAGUUUGCGGCUCAACCGUAAAAUUGCAGUUGAUACUGGCUGUCUUGAGUACAGUAGAGGUGGGCGGAAUUCGUGGUGUAGCGGUGAAAUGCUUAGAUAUCACGAAGAACUCCGAUUGCGAAGGCAGCUCACUGGACUGCAACUGACACUGAUGCUCGAAAGUGUGGGUAUCAAACAGGAUUAGAUACCCUGGUAGUCCACACAGUAAACGAUGAAUACUCGCUGUUUGCGAUAUACAGUAAGCGGCCAAGCGAAAGCAUUAAGUAUUCCACCUGGGGAGUACGCCGGCAACGGUGAAACUCAAAGGAAUUGACGGGGGCCCGCACAAGCGGAGGAACAUGUGGUUUAAUUCGAUGAUACGCGAGGAACCUUACCCGGGCUUAAAUUGCAUUUGAAUAUAUUGGAAACAGUAUAGCCGUAAGGCAAAUGUGAAGGUGCUGCAUGGUUGUCGUCAGCUCGUGCCGUGAGGUGUCGGCUUAAGUGCCAUAACGAGCGCAACCCUUAUCUUUAGUUACUAACAGGUCAUGCUGAGGACUCUAGAGAGACUGCCGUCGUAAGAUGUGAGGAAGGUGGGGAUGACGUCAAAUCAGCACGGCCCUUACGUCCGGGGCUACACACGUGUUACAAUGGGGGGUACAGAAGGCAGCUACCUGGUGACAGGAUGCUAAUCCCAAAAGCCUCUCUCAGUUCGGAUCGAAGUCUGCAACCCGACUUCGUGAAGCUGGAUUCGCUAGUAAUCGCGCAUCAGCCAUGGCGCGGUGAAUACGUUCCCGGGCCUUGUACACACCGCCCGUCAAGCCAUGAAAGCCGGGGGUACCUGAAGUACGUAACCGCAAGGAGCGUCCUAGGGUAAAACUGGUAAUUGGGGCU
rnacentral:rRNA from 1 species